rnacentral:rRNA from 1 species
CAGCACCUCAAGUGGUCAGGAUGAUUAUUGGGCCUAAAGCAUCCGUAGCCGGCGCUGUAAGUUUUCGGUUAAAUCUGUACGCUCAACGUACAGGCUGCCGGGAAUACUGCAGCGCUAGGGAGUGGGAGAGGUAGACGGUGCUCGGUAGGAAGGGGUAAAAUCCUUUGAUCUAUUGAUGACCACCUGUGGCGAAGGCGGUCUACCAGAACACGUCCGACGGUGAGGGAUGAAAGCUGGGGGAGCAAACCGGAUUAGAUACCCGAGUAGUCC